AAGUCACCAAGUCAAGUGCACUCUGGCAAAGAAUACACAUGGAAGGACCUAUCUAUAUAUCCGCCCAAGUUCGGAGCCUGAGCUGUGCAGGUGGAGGACGGCACGAAGAUGGCUUAAAUUCAUUAACCACCCCAUUGAAUCGGCAGCAGGAAGGCUUGCACGUCGCUCGACCCGCUCUUAACGCCAAUGGAAUUGUUAAUCCUCUGGUAGGUCAUCGCGCUUACCGAUCGAGCACGCAUGCGCAACACCCAUUCCCCGUGUCGAUGUGUUAACGAUCGCAAUAACAAUUAUCGUUUCAGUUAUGCCCCCUCUUCCCCCAUAUUGUUCAUCCCGAGCGAUGAUUACUGAUUGGUUCCACGGGGUGAAAAUAUCGAAAUCCUACGAUUACCAGGCUUUCUUGCAACCCAUUUCUCUCCCGCUCGUGUAAAUUGUAAUCGGGAAUAUGCGCGCGCCACAGAUCCGUGUGGAUCACUCCACGGCCGGAUACGUGAUACACCGUUAACACUUGACG